rnacentral:rRNA from 1 species
AAAACUUUCAACAACGGAUCUCUUGGCUCUGGCAUCGAUGAAGAACGCAGCGAAAUGCGAUAAGUAAUGUGAAUUGCAGAAUUCAGUGAAUCAUCGAAUCUUUGAACGCACAUUGCGCCCGCCAGCACUCUGGCGGGCAUGCCUGUUCGAGCGUCAUUUCACCCCUCAAGCGCCCGUCGCUUGGUGUUGGGGACCGGCCGCGCGCCCCCCAGCGCCCGCCGCCCCCCAAAGGCAUCGGCGGCCUCGCCCGCGUCCCUCCCCCUGCGCAGUAGCGACGCUCGCACCGGGAGCGCGGCGGCGGCCACAGCCGUGAAAACUCACGGCCACCGCGUGUGGCCCUCAGAGUUGACCUCGAAUCAGGUAGGACUACCCGCUGAACUUAAGCAUAUCAAUAAGCGGAGGAAAAGAAACCAACAGGGAUUGCCCCAGUAACGGCGAGUGAAGCGGCAACAGCUCAAAUUUGAAAUCUGGCCCCUCCCCCGGGGGGGCCCGAGUUGUAAUUUGCAGAGGAUGCUUCUGGCGAGGUGCCUUCCGAGUUCCCUGGAACGGGACGCCACAGAGGGUGAGAGCCCCGUCUGGUCGGACACCGAGCCUCUGUGAAGCUCCUUCGACGAGUCGAGUAGUUUGGGAAUGCUGCUCUAAAUGGGAGGUAUAUGUCUUCUAAAGCUAAAUACCGGCCAGAGACCGAUAGCGCACAAGUAGAGUGAUCGAAAGAUGAAAAGCACUUUGAAAAGAGGGUUAAACAGUACGUGAAAUUGUUGAAAGGGAAGCGCUCACGACCAGACCUGGUCCCGGCGAAUCACCCGGCGUUCUCGCCGGUGCACUUCGACGGGCUUCCAGGCCAGCAUCAGUCCGCGCCGGGGGACAAAGGCGGCGGGAACGUGGCUCCCCAGGGAGUGUUAUAGCCCGCCGCGCAAUGCCCCGGGAGCGGACUGAGGACCGCGCGUCACCGCAAGGAUGCUGGCGUAAUGGUCUUCAGCGACCCGUCUUGAAACACGGACCAAGGAGUCGUCCUCGUAUGCGAGUGUUGGGGCGUCAAACCCCCCGCGCGUAAUGAAAGUGAACGGCAGGUGAGAGCCCUCGCGGGCGCAUCAUCGACCGAUCCUGAUGUUCUCGGAUGGAUUUGAGUAAGAGCAUACGGGGCCGGACCCGAAAGAAGGUGAACUAUGCCUGUGUAGGGUGAAGCCAGAGGAAACUCUGGUGGAGGCUCGCAGCGGUUCUGACGUGCAAAUCGAUCGUCAAACAUGGGCAUGGGGGCGAAAGACUAAUCGAACCUUCUAGUAGCUGGUUUCCGCCGAAGUUUCCCUCAGGAUAGCAGUGCUGAGCUCAGUUUUAUGAGGUAAAGCGAAUGAUUAGGGACCCGGGGGCGCAUACUUGCCUUCAUCCAUUCUCAAACUUUAAAUAUGUAAGAAGCCCUUGUUACUUAGCUGAACGUGGGCAUUCGAAUGUAUCAGCACUAGUGGGCCAUUUUUGGUAAGCAGAACUGGCGAUGCGGGAUGAACCGAACGCGAGGUUAAGGUGCCGGAGUGGACGCUCAUCAGACACCACAAAAGGUGUUAGUACAUCUUGACAGCAGGACGGUGGCCAUGGAAGUCGGAAUCCGCUAAGGACUGUGUAACAACUCACCUGCCGAAUGUACUAGCCCUGAAAAUGGAUGGCGCUCAAGCGUCCCACCCAUACCUCGCCCUCGGGGCAGGAUCGAGGCCCCGAGGAGUAGGCGGACGUGGGGGUCAGUGACGAAGCCCAGGGCGUGAGCCCGGGUCGAACGGCCCCCAGUGCAGAUCUUGGUGGUAAGCAAUCAUCCCCCCCUCUUCAGGCGGGCGUGACGGCCUAUCUCUCUCACGACAGGUGCUAACGAACUUCUGAACAGGCAGUAGCAAAUACUUCAAUGAGAACUUGAAGGGCCGAAGUGGGGAAAGGUUCCAUGUGAACAGCGGUUGGACGUGGGUUAGUCGAUCCUAAGCCAUAGGGAAGCUCCGUUUCAAAGGCGCACUCGCUGCGCCGCCUGGCGAAAGGGGAGCCGGUUAAUAUUCCGGCACCUGGAUGUGGGUUUUGCGCGGCAACGCAACUGAACGCGGAGACGACGGCGGGGGCCCCGAGCAGAGUUCUCUUUUCUUCUUAACGGUCUCUCACCCUGAAAUCGGUUUGUCCGGAGCUAGGGUUCAACGGCCGGAAGAGCCCAGCACCUCUGCUGGGUUCGGCGCGCCCCCGACGUCCCUUGAAAAUCCGCGGGAGGGAAUAAUUCUCACGCCAGGUCGUACUCAUAACCGCAGCAGGUCUCCAAGGUGAACAGCCUCUGGUUGAUAGAACAAUGUAGAUAAGGGAAGUCGGCAAAACAGAUCCGUAACUUCGGGAUAAGGAUUGGCUCUAAGGGCCGGGUGCGUUGGGCCUCGGGGGGACGCCUUGGGGGCAGGCAGCCACUAGCCGGGCAACCGGCCGGGGGCGGCCAGCACCCGAGCGCCGACGCCCUUGGCAGGCCUCUUGGCCGUCCGGCGCACGCUUAACGGUCAACUUAGAACUGGUACGGACAAGGGGAAUCUGACUGUCUAAUUAAAACAUAGCAUUGCGAUGGCCAGAAAGUGGUGUUGACGCAAUGUGAUUUCUGCCCAGUGCUCUGAAUGUCAAAGUGAAGUAAUUCAACCAAGCGCGGGUAAACGGCGGGAGUAACUAUGACUCAAAUGGCACGAGGGUCCUCUGUGAGGACCUGUAUUUCGAGAGGGUCAAGUAGCGUAAGAGGCGCUGCUAGUGGUCUCCCGGGGGGGCUUGCCCUGCUCCCUCCCCGGCGGUCCGCGACACCAUCAAAUUGCGGGAACACCCUAAAGCUGGCGCUACUAAGCAGGCGCCGAAAGGCAGCCUGUGGCCGGGGUAAUGACCCAGGGUACAGUAAAAACGCGCCAGAUGCAACAAUGGGCAAUCCGCAGCCAAGUCCUAAGUCCCCCCCCGUCCGCUGCCCUCCCCGGGGGCAGCGGGCUUCGGGGGGGGAUAUGGAUGCAGUUCAACGGCUAGACGGUGGUGGGCUGGCGCUCCCGGGCGCCGGCUUAAGAUAUAGUCUGCUCCCACUCCGAGAGGAGGGGUACCGAGAAAGCUCUUAAGGUAGCCAAAUGCCUCGUCAUCUAAUUAGUGACGCGCAUGAAUGGAUUAACGAGAUUCCCACUGUCCCUAUCUACUAUCUAGCGAAACCACAGCCAAGGGAACGGGCUUGGCAGAAUCAGCGGGGAAAGAAGACCCUGGACGCCGCGAGGCUCGUCCUGAACGAAGCAUCAACGGGGUCAAUAGCGGUCUACGUGCCGUUAGUCCAGCGGCCAGCGCAGCUGUGGGUGGCCGCGGGCGAGACAACCUGGAACGGGGGAGCCUAAGGGAGACCUGCAAGCCGGGAAGACACUCCUACGGUAAUCCCGUGGCGAGCCCCUCGG